rnacentral:rRNA from 1 species
CCUACGGGUGGCAGCAGUGAGGAAUAUUGGUCAAUGGACGCAAGUCUGAACCAGCCAUGUAGCGUGCAGGAUGACUGCCCUAUGGGUUGUAAACUUCUUUUAUACGGGAAUAAAGUGAGACACGUGUGCUUUUUUGUAUGUACCUUAUGAAUAAGGAUCGGCUAACUCCGUGCCAGCAGCCGCGGUAAUACGGAGGAUCCGAGCGUUAUCCGGAUUUAUUGGGUUUAAAGGGAGCGUAGGCGGUCGGUUAAGUCAGUUGUGAAAGUUCGCGGCUCAACCGUAAAAUUGCAUUUGAUACUGGCAGUCUUGAGUGCAGUUGAGGUAGGCGGAAUUCGUGGUGUAGCGGUGAAAUGCUUAGAGAUCACGAAGAACUCCGAUUGCGAAGGCAGCUUACUAAACUGCUACUGACGUUGAUGCUCGAAAGUGUGGGGAUCAAACAGGAUUAGAUACCCGAGUAGUC